AUUGAACGCUGGCGGCAGGCCUAACACAUGCAAGUCGAGCGGUAGAGAGGAGCUUGCUUCUCUUGAGAGCGGCGGACGGGUGAGUAAUACCUAGGAAUCUGCCUGAUAGUGGGGGAUAACGUUCGGAAACGGACGCUAAUACCGCAUACGUCCUACGGGAGAAAGCAGGGGACCUUCGGGCCUUGCGCUAUCAGAUGAGCCUAGGUCGGAUUAGCUAGUUGGUGAGGUAAUGGCUCACCAAGGCUACGAUCCGUAACUGGUCUGAGAGGAUGAUCAGUCACACUGGAACUGAGACACGGUCCAGACUCCUACGGGAGGCAGCAGUGGGGAAUAUUGGACAAUGGGCGAAAGCCUGAUCCAGCCAUGCCGCGUGUGUGAAGAAGGUCUUCGGAUUGUAAAGCACUUUAAGUUGGGAGGAAGGGCAGUUAUCUAAUACGUGAUUGU
rnacentral:rRNA from 1 species